rnacentral:rRNA from 1 species
UACGUAGGGACCAAGCGUUGUUCGGAUUUACUGGGCGUAAAGGGCGCGUAGGCGGCUUAACAAGUCACUUGUGAAAUCUCCGGGCUUAACUCGGAACGGCCAAGUGAAACUGUCAAGCUAGAGUGCAGAAGGGGCAAUCGGAAUUCUUGGUGUAGCGGUGAAAUGCGUAGAUAUCUGGAGGAACACCGGUGGCGAAGGCGGCAUCCUGGACCAAUAUUGACGCUGAGGAGCGAAAGCCAGGGGAGCAAACGGG